UGUUUCAAUUUUUGUUUCCGAAUUUGGGUGAACCUCGCGCUUGAAUGUUCAAAUUGACGAAUUCAUCUCGAGGAUAAUUAGAAUCUGUGACGAGGCCAAAUUGUCAUUUAACGAGAGGAAUUUGGUAGUUAAUUUGGAAGUAAGGAUUUACGUUCUAAUGCUAGGUUAACGAGCGUGGGUCCAACGUGUCUAAUGUGGAAUUAAUUUCGAGUAAUUCCCAGAGAUCCGAGGAUCCUCGGGAGAGGAAUAACUCGACAAAUACUCGAGCAUUGCCAAAAUUUCAUUCUCCAAAUUACGGAAACACUCGUUCUUCGACGAAUCCUCAAUUUCUAGCGAGUCGCCUAAUUGCUGUAGAAAAGUGAUCGAGCCGAAUUAACUGCUGUCGACGCUCGAGUCUCGAGUGAAUUUCGAGCUGAAUAUUUUUCUAAGAGAAGAAAAGCCAAGAUCAUCCAGCUGCUUCUAAGACCCGAGCAUCCGAGAAUGUGCUAAGACCUCUCUGUAAAUCCUCUCGAUAACUGACUAACUCCUCGUCUCCGAAUUGAUUGAUGACCUCGGUAAUUAAUCGUGACGGCAAAUCCCGUAGAAUCUGCGUUCGAGGAUGAAACGAGUGGACAGGCUUCCCUUUGAGAACCAUAUUAGCCACCGCAGCUGGAAAAGGAUCAGCAGAAGGACUGGCUGAAUUGGAAGGAUCUCGCGCGUGAUCCCGACAAUUUUGCUGAAAGCUCGUGUGAUCGAGCGUGCGUCUCCUCCCCUCCGUUCCGCCGCUCUCUUUUCUUCGACCGGGCGGUGUUCGGAAACCGCGACAAAAUUAACAUCGGGGGGAGGGGAGGGAGGAUAAUCAAAGCUGACAGACCGGGCUAAUUAGCCACUUGACUCGACUCGAUUCGAAUCGUGCUGUAAUUUCAAUGCGCGAGAAAGACACGAGAGUGGGCGAGCAGAGGAAAAUAUUCCUCAGAAGGAAAAUGUUGUGGAAAUGUUUGGCGAGUCGAAGCUGAGAGAAUUCGAGGUGAAGUGAGGAACUCGCUCGCGUGAGAUUGAAUUCAAACGUUUUGUGAAAAUUAACGAGAGAUCGUCUGCGAUUUCUGUCUAAUUAAAAUCGGCCGAAGAUGAAAGAAUUUUGAAGUAAAUGCUCGAAAUAAUACUCUAAUACUGGAGGUGAUUUCUAAGAGUUUCUGAGAGUGAGGAGCUUCGAUUGCUACUACAUAUAAAAUGGAGGGGAGAGUCGUUGAAAUGAACGACAACUGUUCGAGGAGAAACUGGAAGUUUAUGAAAAUCGACCGAGGCUCGAGCUAGUUAUUGGCGAAGAAACGUUUGAUGGAGAGGCGAACGAGUAAGAAGCUUGCGAGCAAUUGCUUCCUCCUGAGCUGAGGAUGGAAUUCGUUGGAAUUAAUUCGAGGAUCUUGAAUCUCGAAGAGAAAGCGAAACAAAAUUCUGCCUGAACGUAAAGAGACAGGGUAUACUACGAAACUGUCAUUUAACACUCGACUAGUUCGAUUUUACUACGAUAAGCAUUAACAAAAGAUGUUCAGAAAGAGUAAAU